AUGUAGAGAUAACUUUCUAGGCUGUUAGCUUAUUAUUCUUUCUAUUGCCGUUCUAUUUCAGAUGCUAAAGAGAAGCACGGGCUGGGUCGGGGCUGAGUUUUGCACAGUUUAGGGUCCCUCAAUUGAUCUAACUUUUGUAUUGGAAAAAUAUUAUUCAUUUAGCUUUUGGUAAUUUGGAGGAAGUGACUUUCCAAUUAAUCUUUUUUCAAUUAUCUAUUGGUCAUACGGCACUAAUUUGAUUUACAAAUUCAAAAGGACUUUAGGAACUUGGAGCCCCAAAAACAAAAUAUAAUGGAAUUGUUAGAAGGGUGAAUCACUAUAGGAUAUAAACAGCAUGACAUCUAUUCUAAAUAUUUUCUAAUGUUUGUCUGAGUUCCGUCAUGAGCCAAGGAAAGUUAUUGGCCCAGAAUCCAAAACUUGAGGAUAGAACCUCUUCCGAAAGUCGAUCAGCAACUUAGCUGGCUUCCCCGUACUACAAAAAAAAAAAGUCUAUCCCCAUACUUUUUAGAGCAUGUGCCAACUUAUAAACAUCGAUAAUUUUGGCAC
rnacentral:lncRNA from 1 species